rnacentral:rRNA from 1 species
AUGGAGUACCAGCCUCUGGUGUCAGCCCUCGACGCUCGCACCUCUCCCGUCACCCUGGAUGAGUUGUUCGCCAUGCUCAGCAACUUCGACCAGCGCAUGGCACUCUACCAGGGGUCGGGUGGCUUCAAGUCGUCCGCGAACGCCGCCUCGCAUAGCCGCGGCGGCCCUCCACGCGGCAAGGCACGCUCUGGUGGCGGCGGCAACUCCUCCAACGCACGCGCCGGACGUUCCCCCUCCACCAACCCCAAGGGACGCGGUGGUGGUGGUGGCCGCGGCUCCAACAGAGCAUGCCCCGAUGCACCGCGCUGCCAGAUCUGCGGCAAGCUCGGGCACAGCGCUCGGGACUGCUGGUACCGCUACGACGACGACGAUGACUCCUCCCAGGACGAGGACAAGGUGGCGGCUGCUGCGGACGGCUCCUACGGCGUCGACACAAAUUGGUAUGUCGACAGCGGGGCCACCGAACACAUCACCAGCGAGCUCGAGAAGGUGACCACGCGAGGGAAAUACCGCGGCAAGGACCAGAUCCACACUGCGAGUGGUGCAAGAUCAGGCAACGAAGAAAGUACUUUAUCAAGGUAG